CCUACGGGUGGCAGCAGUGAGGAAUAUUGGUCAAUGGGCGCGAGCCUGAACCAGCCAAGUAGCGUGAAGGAUGACUGCCCUACGGGUUGUAAACUUCGUUUAUAAAGGAAUAAAGUGAGGCACGUGUGCCUUUUCGUAUGUACGUUAUGAAUAAGGAUCGGCUAAGUCCGUGCCAGCCGCCGCGGUAAUACGGAGGAUCCGAGCGUUAUCCGGCUUUAUUGGGUUUAAAGGGAGCGUAGAUGGGUUGUUAAGUCAGUUGUGAAAGUUUGCGGCUCAACCGUAAAAUUGCAAUUGAUACUGGCAGCCUUGAGUACAGUUGAGGUAGGCGGAAUUCGUGGUGUAGCGGUGAAAUACUCAGAGAUCACGAAGAACUCCGAUUGCGAAGGCAGCUUACUAAACUGCCACUGACAUUGAUGCUCGAAAGUGUGGGUAUCAAACAGGAUUAGAUACCCGAGUAGUC
rnacentral:rRNA from 1 species